GGGCCAGUGGCGCACAGGAUAUCGCACCUGACUACGGAUCAGGAGACUCCAGGUUCGAAUCUGGCUGGCUCG
rnacentral:tRNA from 1 species